CGCAGCCUGAUGCAGCCAUGCCGCGUGUGUGAAGAAGGCCUUCGGGUUGUAAAGCACUUUCAGUCAGGAGGAAAGGUUAGUAGUUAAUACCUGCUAGCUGUGACGUUACUGACAGAAGAAGCACCGGCUAACUCCGUGCCAGCAGCCGCGGUAAUACGGAGGGUGCGAGCGUUAAUCGGAAUUACUGGGCGUAAAGCGUACGCAGGCGGUUUGUUAAGCGAGAUGUGAAAGCCCCGGGCUCAACCUGGGAACUGCAUUUCGAACUGGCAAACUAGAGUGUGAUAGAGGGUGGUAGAAUUUCAGGUGUAGCGGUGAAAUGCGUAGAGAUCUGAAGGAAUACCGAUGGCGAAGGCAGCCACCUGGGUCAACACUGACGCUCAUGUACGAAAGCGUGGGGAGCAAACAGGAUUAGAUACCCUGGUAGUCCACGCCGUAAACGAUGUCUACUAGAAGCUCGGAGCCUCGGCUCUGUUUUUCAAAGCUAACGCAUUAAGUAGACCGCCUGGGGAGUACGGCCGCAAGGUUAAAACUCAAAUG
rnacentral:rRNA from 1 species